UUUAUCAUGCAUUAAAGAAUAUAUAAUUAGAUUUAUUUCUAGAUUUAUAUUAUUGAUAUUAUUAUUUCUGGGUUUAGAUUAUUUUCCAUGGAUGUGUAAUUAUAUGGAAGUAGAUUUUCAACAUUGUUCUUUUAAAAUAAUCUAUCCUUUAACAUUCUCACCCAUGUUCUUUUCCAGAUAGACUUUUGAAUAUUUUAUUGAGUUUCAAGGAAAACUCUGCAGGUAGUUCAAAAUUCUACAGAAUGUACAAGUGAACUUGAAAUGAACCAACAUUUUUAUAACAUUUCCACUAUUUUUUUAUUUUUAUUGCUAUUUUGGAUGGAACUUUUUUAUUAUAAUCUAAAACUGGUGAUUGAUAAUAUUCAAGGAUUUCAUUGUUUUUUUAAUAUUUAUCUUGAAUAUUUCUAAUUAAUGUGUAUUUGUGCUUUCUUUGAUUGUUUUUCAGAUUUUGGAGGUACUGGGGAUCAAAUACAGGGACACUUUACUGCUGGCUACACCCCCACCCUUUUAAUAUUUUUAAAUUUUGAGUCAGGGUCUCACUAAGUUGCUGAGGUUGGUCUUCAACUUGUGAUCCUCCUGCCUCAGCCUCCUGAGUCACAAGAUUACAGGGUUGUUCCACCACACCUGGCAUAAUUCAUGUGUUUUUAACUAUUCCACAUAGAUGACAUGAUCAAGAGCAGGUGGUUCAUGGCAAUAAGAGCAAACAAGCAAGUGCUAAAGAAGUAUGGUGAGAUGAAUAAAGAAUGAAUAACAAUUUUUAAAACCUUAGUCUCCACUAUGCAUGCCUUUUAUUUUUAUUCUCAUUCUAGUGUGUCUGCUGGGAUUUAAAUGCUAUUGCAUAUGAUAAUUGUAAACAUUUUGGUCCUAGCUCCAUUUUAGACAGCAUUUUAAAUUCUAUCUUUUUAUGUAUAACACUGGAUAUCAAUUUA
rnacentral:lncRNA from 1 species